rnacentral:rRNA from 1 species
GACGAACGCUGGCGGCGUGCCUAAUACAUGCAAGUCGAACGCAGUGGGGACGGGUGAGUAACACGUGGGUAAACUCCCCUCAGAGGGGAUAAAACUUGGAAACAGGUGCUAAACCGAUACUGAUGGAUGGACCCGCGGUGCAUUAGCUAGUUGGUGAGGGAACAGCUCACCCAGGCCACGAUGCAUCACCGACGUGAUAGGGUGAGCGGCCACACUGGGAAUUAGACACGGCCCAGACUCCUACGUGAGGCAGCAGUAGGGAAUCUUCGGCAAUGGACGAAAGUCUGACCGAGCAACGCCGCGUGAGUGAAGAAGGUUUUCGGAUCGUAAAACUCUGUUGUUAGAGAAGCGGUAUCUAACCAGAAAGCCACGGCUAACUACGUGCCAGCAGCCGCGGUAAUAC